rnacentral:misc_RNA from 1 species
GUGGGAGGGGGCUUGCCCCCGAUGACAGUGUGUCAGCCAAUGGAUAUGUGGCUGAUGCUCCGCUAUCGGGGGCAAGCCCCCUCCUAC